rnacentral:lncRNA from 1 species
AUAACAUAUGGGUUACCUAGUUAAAUUUGAAUUUCAGAUAAACGAAUCAUUUUUAAUAUAAGUAUGUCCCAUGUAAUACAUUAGUAUUUUUAUUUGCUGAAUCUGGCAACUCUAUGAGUGAGGCUUCUGGGAAGCAAGGAAGGACACUCUUUUUGCCCUUUUCCCUCUUUUCUUUCCUGGGACAUGGAUGGAAGGGCUAGAAUUUCAGCAACCAGCUUGGGUCAUGAGGUUAAGGAUGGCAGAAGAGACAGAAGACUUGGGCCCCUAAUGACUGCAUACCUUCCGAUUUGCUUUAUGUUGAGAAUAAACCACUGAUUUCCUUUAGCCACUAAUAGUACCUCUGUUACCUGCACCCCAUUGCUCUUCUAACUGAUAGAGCCAUAAUAGAAAGUGCACUGUUAUUUUUGGUGUUAAGUCUGUUUACCACGUGUCAUCCUCGCCUCUGCCUCUGAUGUAACAUAAACCACUCUACUUUUACUUACUAUAUUUUUUAAGCAACCCAGGAGAGAUGGGUGAGAUUCCCUAUACUCUGGGAAAUGACAGCCCUUAGCAUGAGUUUCUACACAAUGUUAUUGCCUGACUAUUUUGCAAAAAGCGUUUUAGUGCCACGAAAUGAUGUUCUGAAGCUGCAGAACCAUAUUUCAAAACAGCAGAAACCACCUGUGAAUUCUGAUGUUCCACUUUGAGAAAGUUUACUUUUAUAGUGUGCAAGUCUUCAUUAGCCCUAUAUUGACAGCUUCCCUUUUGUGCUGUAAAGACUGGCUAAGGAUAGUCAUGUGCACAGGUAAAGCUAACUUGCAAAGCCCAUCAAUAAUUCAGGAAUGACGUGAAAAGCUAAUGCCUUCGGCCUUGUGAGCCGUUUUGAAUGUCCACUGUGAGGCAUUCUGGGAAAUGGAGGGGGUAAUAGAAUUGGCCUCUUUGAAUAUAAGCUUUUAUUUUAUUUAUUUAUUUUUUAUUGCAGUAACAUUGGAUUAUAACAUUAUAUAACUUUCAGGUGUGCAUUGUAAUAUAUUUCGAAUUCUGUGUGGAUUACAUCAUGUUCACCACCCAAAGACUAAUUACAACCUAUGAAUAUAUAAGCUUAACCUAACUGGCUGACCUCGGCUGGUUCUGCAGAGAAAGAGAAUUUCUCUGGGCUGUGAACUGUAGAAAUACCAGCCCUUCCUUUUGCAGUGGAAUCUUUUGAAGGUUAAGUAAUAGUAAAUAAUCAACUAAGAUUUCUCAGAUUGGCUGCAUUUACCUUUCUCUGAAAAAAAUGUUUCCCCAUGAAGACGAAGCAACUUUGGAAUGAGAGCAGUAUUUCCUUUUAGGCCUCCCCGCUUCAGACAUUCGGAGAACAAGAUCAGGCCUGGCCUGGCUGGCAGAGACUGCCUGGGGCAGACAGCUUGACUUGCCGUGUGGGUGAGGGGAGGUGAGUUAGAAUUUAAUAGAAGGGAGG